rnacentral:rRNA from 1 species
AAAAUUCCUAGUACGGCGAGUGAGAGGAAGAGCUCAAAGUUGGAACCUGUUUGGCCUAGCUAAACCGGAUUGUAGACUGUAGAAGUGUUUUCCAGGCAAGCCGAGUAAAUAAGUCCUUUGGAACAGGGCAUCAUAGAGGGUGAGAAUCCCGUCUUUGGCUUGAGCAUUUGCCUUUUGUGAUACGCUUUCAAAGAGUCAGGUUGUUUGGGAAUGCAGCCUAAAUUGGGUGGUAAAUCUCACCUAAAGCUAAAUAUUGGCGAGAAACCGAUAGCGAACAAGUACCGUGAGGGAAAGAUGAAAAGAACUUUGAAAAGAGAGUUAAACAGUAUGUGAAAUUGUUAAAAGGGAACCGUUUGGAGCCAGACUGGCUUGUCUGUAAUCAAUCUAGGCUUCGGCCUGGAUGCACUUGCAGGCUAUGCCUGCCAACGACAAUUUGACUUGAGGGAAAAAACUAGGGGAAAUGUGGCCCACUUGUGGGUGUUAUAGUCCCUUAGAAAAUACCUUGGGUUGGAUUGAGGAACGCAGCGAAUGCUUAUUGGCGAGUUUUCCAGGAAGGUUUUCUGAGGUACUACGGUAUCAAGGUUGAUCUUUUUGGUUAUACUUCUAUUCGCUUAGGUUGUUGGCUUAAUGACUCUAAAUGACCCGUCUUGAACCACCGGGACCA